GGCCACUGUGGCAUAAUGGUUUGAGCCUUGGACUAGGACACUGGGGAGACCAGGGUUCGAAUCCCUGCUUGGCCA